rnacentral:rRNA from 1 species
GCAGCCGCCGCGGUAAUACAGAGGGUGCGAGCGUUAAUCGGAUUUACUGGGCGUAAAGCGUGCGUAGGCGGCUUCUUAAGUCGGAUGUGAAAUCCCUGAGCUUAACUUAGGAAUUGCAUUCGAUACUGGGAAGCUAGAGUAUGGGAGAGGAUGGUAGAAUUCCAGGUGUAGCGGUGAAAUGCGUAGAGAUCUGGAGGAAUACCGAUGGCGAAGGCAGCCAUCUGGCCUAAUACUGACGCUGAGGUACGAAAGCAUGGGGAGCAAACAGGAUUAGAUACCCGGGUAGUCCCUGUCUCUUAUAC